UNUUCNCAAUGGACGCAAGUCUGUGGAGCAACGCCGCGUGAGUGAGGAAGGCCUUCGGGUCGUAAAGCUCUGUUGCCAGGGAAGAACGCCUGGGAGAGUAACUGCUCCCAGGGUGACGGUACCUGAGAAGAAAGCCCCGGCUAACUACGUGCCAGCAGCCGCGGUAAUACNGUAGGGGGCAAGCGUUGUCCGGAAUUAUUGGGCGUAAAGCGCGCGCAGGCGGUUCUUUAAGUCUGGUGUCUAAGUGCGGGGCUCAACCCCGUGAUGCACUGGAAACUGGAGAACUUGAGUGCAGAAGAGGAGAGCGGAAUUCCACGUGUAGCNGGUGAAAUGCGUAGAGAUGUGGAGGAACACCAGUGGCGAAGGCGGCUCUCUGGACUGUAACUGACGCUGAGGCGCGAAAGCGUGGGGAGCAAACAGGAUUAGAUACCCUGGUAGUCCACGCCGUAAACGAUGAGUGCUAGGUGUCGGGGGGGUCCACCCCUCGGUGCCGAAGUUAACACAUUAAGCACUCCGCCUGGGGAGUACGGUCGCAAGACUGAAACUCAAAAAAAUUGACGGA
rnacentral:rRNA from 1 species